GCCAGAUGUCCAGGAAAACAGCAACCCCCUUUCGGAGCGAAGAGCCCAACAGGGGCUUAGCUCAGGACACACGGUUCUGGGAAGAGAAGGUCCCAGGGCUGCUUGCAUCCGGGUGCACGUGUGCCCGAUGUGCAGAGGACUCAAGAUCCAAUUCCAGAACCAGAGACGGGCUGUCGCCUGGCCCCUGUGGACCCAGAGCCUCCUGCCUUCCUCCAGCCCCUGCAGACUUGCUCGGGGUGGUCACUGCGUGUUCCCGCUUGGGCUGAGGUGUUGGGUGAAGAGUCCUUCCCUCGCGAGGGACACCGUUUCCUAACUGGAAACUUUACGAAGCUGACAUUUGGCAAGAGAGUCAUUUCUCCCGCAAACGGUCACCCAUUGCAGUUCAUGGAAGCGAAAAUGCGACUCACGUUUCGCUU